GAUGAACGCUAGCUACAGGCUUAACACAUGCAAGUCGCAGGGUAACAUGAGGAAAGCUUGCUUUCCUUGAUGACGACUGGCGCACGGGUGAGUAACGCGUAUCCAACCUUCCCAUAACUACGGGAUAACCCGUUGAAAGACGGCCUAAUACCGUAUGAUAUCGUUUGCUGACAUCAAAUAACGAUUAAAGGUUUAGCGGUUAUGGAUGGGGAUGCGUCUGAUUAGCUUGUUGGCGGGGUAACGGCCCACCAAGGCGACGAUCAGUAGGGGUUCUGAGAGGCAGGUCCCCUACAUUGGAACAAAGACACGGACCAAGCGCCUACGGGCGGCAGCAGUGAGGGAUAUUGGGCAAUGCGCGAGAGCCUGAACCAGCCAAGUAUCGUGCAGGACGGCGGCACUAGGGGUUGUAAACUGCUUAUAGGUGGGGAUAAAGAGCGUGAGGGGUCAUGCAUUGAAGGUACCACAUGAAUAAGGACCGGCUAAUUCCGUG
rnacentral:rRNA from 1 species